GAGAUAGAGGGGGAUAUAGAGAUAGGGGGAGAUAGAGGGGGAUAUAGGGAGAGAUAGAGAUAUAGAGGGGGAUAUAGGGAGAGAUGGAGAGAGAGAGACGGGGAGAUAGGGAGAUAUAGGGGGAGAGGGAGAUAUAGAGGGAGAGAUAGAGAGAUAUGGAGGGAGAUAUAGAGAUAGAGGGAGAGAGAGAUGGAGAUACAGAGAGAGAUAGGGAGGGAGGGAGGGAGAGAUGGAGGGAGAUGGAGAUAUAGAGGUGGAGAUAUAGAGAUGGAGAUGGAGAUGGAGAGAUAGAGAUGGAGAGAUAGAGAUGGAGAUAGAGAGAUAUACAGAGGGAGGGAGAGAGAGGGGGAAAUAGAGAGGGAAAUAGAGAGAUAUAGAGAGAGAUAGAGAGGGAGGGAGAGAUGGAGAGAUACAGAGAUAGAGAUAUAGAGGGAGAUAGAGAGAGACAGAGAUAGGGGGAGAGACAGAGAUAGGGGGAGAGAGAGAGAUAUUAGGGAGAUAGAGAGAGAGAUAAGAGGGAGAUACAGAGAUAGAGGGGGAUAUAGAGGGGGAUAGAGAGAGCUAGGGGGAGAGAGAGGGGGAGAUAGAGAGAUACAGAGAUAGAGGGGGAUAUAGAGGGAGAGAUAGAGGGAGAUAGAGAUGGAGGGAGAGAUAGAGGGAGAGAUAGAGAUGGAGAGAUAGAGAUAGGGGGAGAUACAGAGGGAGGUAUAGAGAGAGAGAUGGGGGAGAUACAGAGAUAGAUAUAGAGAGAGAGAGAGGGAGAGAUGGAGAGAGAUAUAGAGGGAGAUAUAGAGAUAGUGGGAGAUAGAGAUAGAGAGAGAUAUAGGGAGAUAAUAGAGGGAUAUAGAGGGGAUAUAGAGAGAUGGAGGGAGAGAGAGAGAGAUAUAGGGGGAGAUAUAGAGGGAGAUAGAGAUAUAGGGAUAGAGGGAGAGAUGGAGGGGGAUAUAGAAGGAGAGAGAGAUGGAGAGAUGAAGGGAUAUAGAGAGGGAGAUGCAGAGGGAGAGAGAGAGAGGGAAAUAGAGAGGGAAAUAGAGAGAUAGAGGGAGAUACAGAGGGAGAUAGAGAGUGAUAUAGAGGGAGAUAGGGGGAUAGAGGGAUACAGAGGGAGAUACAGAGGUAGAGGGAGAGAUAUAGAGAGAGAUAGGGAGGGGGAUAUAGAGGGGGAUAUAGAGAUAGGGGGAGAGAUAGAUAUAGGGAGAUAUUAGGGAGAUAGAGAGAUAAGAGGGAGAUAGAGAGGGGGAUAGAGAGAUAGAAGGAGAUACGGAGAUAGAGGGAGAGAGAGAUGGAGGGAGAGAUAUAGAGAUGGAGAGAUAGAGAGAGAUACAGAGAGAGAGAGGGAGAUAGAGAGAUAGGGAG
ensembl:lncRNA